AGAGUUUGAUCCUGGCUCAGGAUGAACGCUAGCUACAGGCUUAACACAUGCAAGUCGAGGGGCAGCACUAGGUAGCAAUACUGAGGUGGCGACCGGCGCACGGGUGCGUAACGCGUAUCCAACCUUCCCGUUACUCUUGGAUAGCCUUCCGAAAGGGAGAUUAAUACAAGAUGGUGUUUCAAUUUCGCAUGUAAAUGAAACUAAAGAUUUAUCGGUAACGGAUGGGGAUGCGUGACAUUAGAUAGAUGGCGGGAUAACGGCCCACCAUGUCUACGAUGUCUAGGGGUUCUGAGAGGAAGGUCCCCCACACUGGAACUGAGACACGGUCCAGACUCCUACGGGAGGCAGCAGUGAGGAAUAUUGGUCAAUGGUCGGAAGACUGAACCAGCCAAGUAGCGUGAAGGAUGAAGGUUCUAUGGAUUGUAAACUUCUUUUAUACGGGAAUAAAGCCCACUACGUGUAGUGGUUUGUAUGUACCGUAUGAAUAAGCAUCGGCUAACUCCGUGCCAGCAGCCGCGGUAAUACGGAGGAUGCGAGCGUUAUCCGGAUUUAUUGGGUUUAAAGGGAGCGUAGACGGGAGAUUAAGUCAGUUGUGAAAGGCUGCGGCUCAACCGCAGCACUGCAGUUGAUACUGGUUUCCUUGAGUGCGGUUGAGGUAUGUGGAAUUCGUGGUGUAGCGGUGAAAUGCUUAGAUAUCACGAAGAACUCCGAUUGCGAAGGCAGCAUACUAAGCCGCUACUGACGUUGAUGCUCGAAAGUGUGGGUAUCAAACAGGAUUAGAUACCCUGGUAGUCCACACGGUAAACGAUGAAUACUCGCUGUUGGCGAUAUAAUGUCAGCGGCCAAGCGAAAGCAUUAAGUAUUCCACCUGGGGAGUACGCCGGCAACGGUGAAACUCAAAGGAAUUGACGGGGGCCCGCACAAGCGGAGGAACAUGUGGUUUAAUUCGAUGAUACGCGAGGAACCUUACCCGGGCUUGAAAGUUAGUGAAUGAGCUGGAAACAGUUCAGUCCUUCGGGACACGAAACUAGGUGCUGCAUGGUUGUCGUCAGCUCGUGCCGUGAGGUGUCGGCUUAAGUGCCAUAACGAGCGCAACCCUUGCUGUUAGUUGCCAUCAGGUUAAGCUGGGAACUCUAACAGGACUGCUACUGUAAGGUAGAGGAAGGUGGGGAUGACGUCAAAUCAGCACGGCCCUUACGUCCGGGGCGACACACGUGUUACAAUGGUCGGUACAGAGGGUUGCUACCUGGCGACAGGAUGCUAAUCUCAUAAAACCGAUCUCAGUUCGGAUCGGAGUCUGCAACUCGACUCCGUGAAGCUGGAUUCGCUAGUAAUCGCGCAUCAGCCAUGGCGCGGUGAAUACGUUCCCGGGCCUUGUACUCACCGCCCGUCA
rnacentral:rRNA from 1 species